rnacentral:rRNA from 1 species
UGCCCUGGCCUGUAAAGCGGGCACGCGGUGUGUUGAUUGAGUGGCCGCGGCGGCGCGGCCGGUAGAGCAGCGGCGGCGCCCUCUUCGUAGCUCGCACGGAGAGCUAAGGCAGCACCCGAGAGCUCUUGGAGGCGGACGGCGGAGCCGCCCCUACCACUUCUAUCACUGUAUGUUGCACUUGCCCGACGCCGGCGCCCACCGCGUCGUGCCGAGCGAGGCGGCGGAGGAGCUGAGCGAGCUGCGGCUGUAGUAGACGAAGGUCCUCUGGUUUAACAGCUCCGUCCUGAACAGACCCCUACAGUAUUACCGGCUCCCUAUGCUCCGAAAGUAAAGCACGUUAGCAAGAAGCUCUCCCGCACCUGGUAUGAGACCACAACGUUGCAAAACGGCCCACUGUAGUCGUAAACGGUCAGUCCUCCAACGAAACGGCCAUCGUCGACUUCUUCCGAAACGACCUAAUGUCCCGAGACGUUUCCUGUUACUUCAAUAACCCCUAAAACAAGAACUAUACGGAUACCUACUCCUUCUAGAACCGCUUUAUUGUUCUCUCCUCGACGAGUCCCACCUGUUACUCCCCGCUACAUAGUAGUGACUGGUACCUGUAAAACAAGAAAAGUUAUAUAUACCGGGUAGAUAACCUCUUCUACUACUUCUUGCCCAAGCAAAAUUCGAUGACAAAAUGUUCUAUAACGUCUUUGCUACCCUUAAAGAUGACCGAGAGCCUUUCUCUCAGAAGCAACAACCUCUAAACUUAUAACGAGGAUCAAGCUAUCUAUCCACACUGCGUAGAGGACCUAAACUCUUCGUUUACUGCCCUCGAAUAUGAACAAAAUUAGUUUUUCAACCUCGACUUCUUAUGUUAAUACCAAGAUCUUAUCUGGUGUAAGAGUAAAGACCACGGACAAAAGUACUGACGUUAAGCCACCUUCUAGUAUCGUAAAAGGUAACGGUACAACUCCUAACACUCUAUUACUUAGUAAAGUCUUCUCCCCUAAGUCCUUUAUAGAGUUUCACCUUUCCUCCCUCUUCAUCAUUCGAUCUUCCCAGACUAGUAUAAGGUCAAAUAUACUAUGACUUGCCUUAUGGACUUGAAGGACGGGUAUUAUGGGGUGGUAGUCGACGUUCUAUAGAGGGUCUUUAGGCACCCGCCGUUGUUUCAUAUCAUAGUAAGGAGUCAUUUCCUUUUAACACACUUCGACUUCUACCGGGUCCAAAUUUGUAUAGGUCCCUAUCUCUUUUGGUUUCGACGACAUCACUACUGGACCUUUCCUCUUCGUAUAGGUUCCUUCUUAAUCGUUGACCAUAUUGCCUCAAAAGAUUUCCACAAUUGGUUGGAUCAGGCUGCAGAUUCGCCUCCUUAGAACUAGUAACCUAUUUACUUCCAAGUUCACCGUCGAGACAUUGUAAUGAUCGUCGUGUUCCAUACUUUUGAAGGAAAAGACCACAGUUCAGACACAGUUUGUUCUUUUUGUUCGUAUUGAAUAGGAGUGUCGGUUGUUAGUUCAGUAAAAAAGCUUCUGGUCUUUGUUUCGGUCCCCUACGGUUAUAGUUAUCGAAUCGAUCAAGUCAUCUAUGUCAUGGAUCAAGUCAUCUAUGUGAUGGAUUCUACCUACUUAAUACAAGAGGUGUUCUACUAUCAGACGUUCUUUUGUAGGUCACAUGUCGACGUCGACUACCUCUAGGCCUAUUGAGUUUGUAUAGUAGAAGUGAAAGUUGAAUAUUUACGUUAUAACGUUGUAACCUCACCGUUUCUUAUGUUGUCUCUUACUUUUACUGGGAUGGUGAAACGUUUCCUGUGGCACUUGGAACGUAAGGUUCCAGACACUUCUUCCCGAGGUUAUAGCCAGCGAAUAAGAUACAGACACGGGCACGAGUCCCUGGAAGUAGUUUAGGUCUUCGCUUGACGUUAGUGAAAGUUACCCGGAGACAUUUUAGAUUUCCCUUCGCCGUUACUGAGAAAACAAACAGUCAGUAAAAGACGGCAACGGUACGUCCAGUUUACUGAUGAAAGACGUGAACUACGUUCAUUAUAGUCGUCAGGGGAUUCUUACACAACUACGAAAACAACCUGUUAAAUCAAAUAAAAACACGAUUGAAGACAAAAUCAGGGGUCUUCGGGACCUGUGGACAGUCGAACACGAAGCGCACUCAGACUACAUAGCGGACGAGGGUACAACCCUCGUUCUACCAGGAAUAAGUCACGUUUAAAGAAAUGAUUGUCUCCAUGUAUCAAACAGGAACAUCUCAAGAUCAAUCUAAACAUGGGCCAUGGGAGGAAAAGAAACAACUUCUCUUCAUCGGAGGAGGAAACAACAUUGAAGGUUCAGUUUGUUUGUUUUACACUGACAGACAACAACCCACCGAUUACUUUACGGUAAACCUCGGGAGUACACCAAGACAAACAA